UCAAAGAAGGGAUUUUAUGUUAACAUGUAACUUGAUCUGUUAAGAUGUUUUUGAUUGAAAUAGCUUUUGAUUUUAGUACAUGUGACCACUUAAUACUGCACAUUGAAAGAAUGACCUUUUGCAGUUCUUUAUAAUCCAUAAAAUGUUUAGAAAAUCUGCUGUGCAUCAUAAUUUGGAACAGUGCAUUUUGAGUUUUUUAUUUUUGAAAAAAAAUACUGUUCUCAUUGGGAGCUUUGAUCAGUAAAAUUUGAUUUAUACUGUAAUAGUUCAUGACUUGAAAAUUAUACUGACCAUCAUUUGCAUUGACCGUUUAAGAAAAUCUUAGAAAAUAUCACUUACAUAAUAAUUUGGAACACGGUGUAUGAAUAAAAUACUCCUUUAAACUUUACUGGAUAUAUUUAAAACUUAACUAUAAAAGCUAGAAGGUUGCUACUGUACCACAUAGUACCAGAUUUAACUGGGUUCAGAUUUCACCUUGUAAGCUGAAGAGUAGAGUGACAGAAACACUUUGACCUCUAUACUACUUUGACUAUCAAAAAUGGAAUCAUAGCCAAAAAAAAAAAAAAAAAGCACACAUUCAGGUGAGUAGAAUGACCUGGUCUCCAUAGUGAUGCUUGGCCUCUGAUAUUCUCUAAAGAAUAAAGUUGGCUGAAUACAAUACAACAACACAUUUGUUAUUAUACAUUUUUACUAUAACAUUUUUUCAAAACAAUUCCUCAGUCUACUUCCACUUCAGUCUGUCACAUAAUGCGAAUAAUUUUCAAAGGCAUUGUAUUCAUGAGUUCUGUUUCAACGUCAAUUGGAAUAAGUUUGAUAUUAUGCUGAUGCUCAAGAGAAACACUGGUGAGGAAGGACAGAUUCAACAGCUUAUCUUGCUCUGAUAAUCUCUCAUUGUUCAAAUGUCUUCAUUUACCCAUAAGAUUCAGUCUGCUUGAUUUCAUCCCAGCCUCAGAAGAACCUGAUGCUUUUUAUACCUUUUGAGCUGUUGAUCAUAACUUGUUGUAAAUGUACAGAAAUGUAAUUUUGUGUGAGGCAGACUGUCUUAUUUUGUACUGUGACAUUUCUGAAUCUCUGACUGUUGUAACCAUGAACAAACAUAGAAUGCAGGAUUUGUAAUAGCUGUUUUGAUGGAGUUGUUGAGGAAUGUAAAUCCAAGGUUUAACAGAGUCUUUGUUUUAUCUGUUUUUGAAUUUAUUCUGGUGUGACUGUUCUUGACUGAGAAUUCAAGCCUGUGGAGAUGACAAACCAGCUGAAACAUUCCAUUUGGAAUGAUGUCCUGUUGUGUCCUUGUUAACACACUUCUAACGUAUUUUUGGGAGAGUUCUAAUGUCGCCCUUCUGAGGUUUUUGCUAAAUUCAGAAGACCGCUGCUGGCUUUUUCUUCUUCUCGCCACCAUACCUGUAGCCCAGACAUAAGAACUUGGCAGAAUUUCUCCCCACUUUUUGACAGAUCCCUCUGAUGGCUUCUGCUGUGAGAUACAUCUAACAAAAAGCCUGCUAGAACAGAUUCAGUUUAUCUAUCUAGCUUACAUAUUUCACUAUUAAAGACAAAAAAUUUUGAUCAUGUCAAUUAGGUACUAAAUCAAGUUCACCUUGUUAAUUUGAAUUUAGACGUACAAUACACACCUUUGCCUGUUUAGUAUCUUAAUCAGUAAAAUUAGGCUUAAUUUUGACCACUAGAUGACAGCAAAGUGUUCCCAACAUGAUAUUGGAUAAGCGUGGAAUUUACACCAACAGGCUUUAGUGGGAUAUAUACUUGUGGUUAAAAGAUGGGAAUCGUUUUGAAAUGAUUUCUUUUGGUCAUCUUCUUUACUCACACAAACAUUCCAUCGUAACAGGGAUGGGUGGACUUUUAAAAUCGCAAAUUUUUGUGUCCUUCAAUGUCCACAUUCCAAGGUCUAACUGUGUAACGCCACCUGGAACUCAGCAGCUCUCACUGACCACCAUAGCCGCAACAAUUAAUGACAGAAUAGCAAGAUUGAAGCAAUAUGGCUUCUUAGAAUUGGUCUGCAAGGAAAAGCCUAAAACAAAAAAGAAUAAAAUGUUUGAACAAACUUUAAACAUCCUGGAACAUUAGGUAUAUUGUUAAAACACAGCCUAUUAGCACAAACACAUACCCACUGGUCGGCAUGGUAGUACUGGACUGAUUAACAGGGCUAAUCUGACAGACACAAGAGCUUAGCAUAGUCUAAUUAUCAUUUACUAUGAAAUCUUUUAGUUUAAAAAAAUAACUGCGCUGAAACAGGAGCGUGUAUUUAGUUUUUUUAUAUUGUUCGUCUGGAUUACUAACUAUCCUCCCAUCCUGCUGCUGCAUUAACCUGGUUAAGGCUGCAGAUUGGCUGGAGGCUGUUCCACCUUGCGUCACAUGUAAUGCUAGGUGGGACAAAGUACAGGCUGAAAAAACUGCCAUAGAAUCACACCAAACAUCGAUACACACAUGGACUGGAAGACUGCAUUGGGGAGAAGGUUUACAGACUUUAUAAGGUGUACUUGUUAGCUUAGGUGCUAAAAAGUCCACUAAAGUGUAUGGUGCAUGUCACACAUGAAACAUAAACUGAAACAAUCUCUCAGCUGCCUACUGCACUCCUGGUGUUGAUUAAAUGUGUAAUACAGUGGUCAAAUGUGCCAUCUAUUGGUGUAUUUACUGAUCUGUAAGACUGAUCAGCUUUAAAAACAUGUAGCUUUUUUAGCAUUACCUUUGAUGUAUCUUUCAGUGCAGCAAAGGUCCCAAUUGUAAAACUCACGAUACACAUUACUGUCAUGAAACGUGGUGUAGAGUGGUGAGGAUGACGCAGUGGACCCAGGGUGUUUGAACAAAUGAUGAUGGUUUUAAUGAAGAAUUUACAAAAUACAAAGUCCAGGCAGCACAGGUGAGCAAUAAGGCAAAGAGCUCAGACACUGGCUGCAACUAGUAGACAAACUAGACUAAACAAGGGCAGAAUAGACAACUUAUGACUUUAGACUAGAACCAGAGACACAGGUGGGUUUAAAUACACUGAGAUGGUAAUCAGGGGAAACAAGGGACUUCUGGGGGCAAGCAAGAGGCAGCCAGGACGACACAGGAAGUAAACACACAGAAAACCAAAUCUUCACAAUUACUUUUAAAAUUGAUGCUGAUAAUGUUUGACCUUUGACACUGUUGGAGUCUGUAGAGUAAAAAGUAAAGUCAGUGAACAAAGAAAAAAUGUAAAGACGCUGAAACUGUAUUUGUCUUGCUGGGUAUCUGUUAUGUUCAGGUUUAAGAAUCUGUAAUAAGGCUCAAAGUGGUUCCCUUUGUACAUUUUGUAACUUAUAAAAAAUUAUUUUGCUCUUCA